UCAAGCUAAUAAGAGCACAGGGUGGAUGCCCAGGCACCAAACGCCGACGAAAGACGUGGCAAGCUGCGAAAAGUCACGGGGAACCGCAAGCAGGUAUUGAUCCGUGAACGUCUGAAUGGGGAAACCCGGCGGGUUAACAGCCCGUCACUAUUAACUGAAUCAAUAGGUUAAUAGGGGGAACGCGGGGAACUGAAACAUCUCAGUACCCGUAGGAAGAGAAAAUAAAGAAUGAUUUCCUAAGUAGCGGCGAGCGAACGGGAAAGAGGCCAAACCGAAGGGCUUGCUCUUCGGGGUUGUGGAUCAGCAAAAAGGACGGAAGACCUUAGCAGAAGAGGAUUGGAAAGUCCCGCCAGAGAGGGUAAAAGCCCCUUACGCGAAAAGGUCAAACGACGAGCUGACACCAGAGUACCGCAGGACACGAGAAAUCCGGUGGGAAGCCGGGAGGACCACCUCCCAAGCCUAAAUACGAAUUGGUGACCGAUAGCGCAUAGUACCGUGAGGGAAAGGUGAAAAGAACCCCGGGAGGGGAGUGAAAAAGAACCUGAAACCCUGUGUUUACAAGCAGUGAAAGUGCAAGCAAGGCACGAUCACGUACUUUUUGUAGAACGGACCGGCGAGUUACGUUAUGCAGCAAGGUUAAGAACUAAAGGUUCGGAGCCGAAGCGAAAGCGAGUCUGAAUAGGGCGAUAGUUGCAUGACGUAGACCCGAAACCGGGUGACCUAUCCAUGAGCAGGUUGAAGUGGAGGUAAAGCUCCAUGGAGGACCGAACCAGACGUCUGUUGAAAAAGGCGGGGAUGACUUGUGGAUAGGGGAGAAAUUCCAAUCGAACCCGGAGAUAGCUGGUUCUCCUCGAAAUAGCUUUAGGGCUAGCCUUCAGUUAGUCUGCCGCAGGUAGAGCACUGAAUUUCCUAGGGGGCGUCAAAGCCUACCGAAGAAUAUCAAACUGCGAAUGGCGGACAGAUGAUGCCAGGGAGUCAGACUGCACGAGAUAAGUUGGGUGGUCAAAAGGGAAAGAGCCCAGACCUACAGCUAAGGUCCCAAAGUGCGUGUUAAGUGGAAAAGGAUGUGGGAUUUCGAAGACAACUAGGAUGUUGGCUCAGAAGCAGCCAUACAUUCAAAGAGUGCGUAAUAGCUCACUAGUCGAGAGGUCCUGCGCCGAAAAUGUCCGGGGCUAAAACACGACACCGAAGCUGAGGAACAUGAAAAUGUUGGUAGAGGAGCAUUCUUAACGGAACGAAGCUGUACCGUAAGGAGCAGUGGACUGUUAAGAAGAGAGAAUGCCGGAAUGAGUAGCGAGAUGGAGGUGGGAAUCCUCCAGGCCGAAUAUCCAAGGUUUCCAGAGUAAAGCUGAUCUGCUCUGGGUAAGUCGGGGCCUAAGGCGAGGUCGAAAGACGUAGUCGAUGGACAACAGGUUGAGAUUCCUGUACUGCAAUGUAACAGAACUGUGGGGACGCAUGUGGAAAGCAUAAGCCGGGAAUGGAAAGACCGGUACAAGCGGAGGAGGAGACGGGAAGGCAAAUCCGCCCGUCAAUCCAAAGCCGUUAUGUGGAGCGAAAUAAAGUAGUGAAGUAUGCAGGCUGUGUGCCGAGAAAAGCCGCUAUUGUUUUAUAUGUGCCCGUACCGUAAACCGACACAGGUGGAUGAGGAGAGAAUCCUAAGGCCGGCGGGAGAAGCAUUGUUAAGGAACUCGGCAAAAUGACCCCGUAACUUCGGGAGAAGGGGUGCCCACGAAAGUGGGCCGCAGAGAAUAGGCUCAAGCAACUGUUUAGCAAAAACACAGGUCUAUGCAAAACCGAAAGGUGAGGUAUAUGGGCUGACGCCUGCCCGGUGCUGGAAGGUUAAGAGGAGAGGUUAGCGCAAGCGAAGCUUUGAAUUUAAGCCCCAGUAAACGGCGGCCGUAACUAUAACGGUCCUAAGGUAGCGAAAUUCCUUGUCGGGUAAGUUCCGACCCGCACGAA
rnacentral:rRNA from 1 species